AAAAAACAAAUAACUGCCAUCUACAACAAGAACGUUAAAUAUCAAAACCUGAAAGUUUCAACCGUCGACCAGUUGAAGAUAACCCUUAGCAACUUGUAAUGCUGUAGUUGUAGAUCAAUCAAACAAAGUUACAAAUUCAAACAACAAGAAGUGCUUACUAAAA